ACGAACGCUGGCGGCGCGCCUAACACAUGCAAGUCGAGCGAUUAAACUCCUUCGGGAGAUAUAAAGCGGCGGACGGGUGAGUAAGGCAUAGAUAAUCUGGUCCAGAAUGGGGAAUAACCGGUCGAAAGGCUGGCUAAUACCGCAUACUCUAGCUGAGUGAAUGUCAGUUAGGAAAGGCUUCGGCCGUUUUGGAAUGAGUCUAUGUAGGAUUAGGUAGUUGGUGGGGUAAAAGCCUACCAAGCCUACGAUCCUUAACUGGUCUGAGAGGAUGAUCAGUCACACUGGAACUGAGACACGGUCCAGACUCCUACGGGAGGCAGCAGUGAGGAAUUUUGCGCAAUGGGGGAAACCCUGACGCAGCGACGCCGCGUGGAGGAUGAAGUAUCUCGGUAUGUAAACUCCUGUCAGUGGGGAUGAUGAUGACAGUACCCACAGAGGAAGCACCGGCUAACUCCGU
rnacentral:rRNA from 1 species